CCUACGUGAGGCAGCAGUGGGGAAUAUUGCACAAUGGGGGAAACCCUGAUGCAGCGACGCCGCGUGAGUGAAGAAGUAUUUCGGUAUGUAAAGCUCUAUCAGCAGGGAAGAAAAUGACGGUACCUGAUUAAGAAGCCCCGGCUAACUACGUGCCAGCAGCCGCGGUAAUACGUAGGGGGCAAGCGUUCUCCGGAUUUACUGGGUGUAAAGGGAGCGUAGACGGCAGCACAAGUCUGGAGUGAAAUGCCGUGGCUUAACCCGGGAAGUGCUUGGGAAACUGUGCAGCUAGAGUGCAGUAGAGGUGAGUGGAAGUCCGAGUGUAGCGGUGAAAUGCGUAGAUAUUAGGAGGAACACCAGUGGCGAAGGCGGCUUACUGGACUGUAACUGACGUUGAGGCUCGAAAGCGUGGGGAGCAAACAGGAUUAGAUACCCUAGUAGUC
rnacentral:rRNA from 1 species